ensembl:snRNA U1 U1 spliceosomal RNA
AUACUUACCUGGCAGGGGAGGUACCAUGAUCACGAAGGUGGUUUUCCCAGGGCGGGGCUUAUCCAUUACACUCCGGAUGUGCUGAUCCCUGCGAUUUCCCCUAAUGUGGGGAAACUCAACUGCAUAAUUUGUGGUAGUGGGGGACUGUGUUCGCGCUCUCCCCUG